rnacentral:piRNA from 1 species
UAGAAUUAUCUGCUGGGACUCCUUCUGAAA